rnacentral:rRNA from 1 species
UGGGGGAUAUUGCACAAUGGGCGAAAGCCUGAUGCAGCGACGCCGCGUGGGGGAUGAAGGCCUUCGGGUUGUAAACUUCUUAUGCUCUGAACAAGGCGCACCAUGGGGUGUGUUGAGUGUAGGGGUUGAUUAGCGCCGGCUAACUACGUGCCAGCAGCCGCGGUAAUACGUAGGGCGCGAGCGUUGUCCGGAAUUAUUGGGCGUAAAGGGCUUGUAGGUGGCUGGUUGCGUCUGUCGUGAAAGCUCAUGGCUUAACUGUGGGUUUGCGGUGGGUACGGGCUGGCUUGAGUGCAGUAGGGGAGGCUGGAAUUCCUGGUGUAGCGGUGGAAUGCGCAGAUAUCAGGAGGAAUACCGGUGGCGAAGGCGGGUCUCUGGGCUGUUACUGACACUGAGGAGCGAAAGCAUGGGGAGCGAACAGG